rnacentral:lncRNA from 1 species
UCUCUUCAUCGCAUGAAGUUUCGAAAAGAAGGUGAUGUAUGAGUCAGAGAGAAUGGAGUGCAGCCCCAUAUUUCUAGAUCUUCCUCCUCUUCUCCCUCGAACUCUGUUGAACCAUCCUCCCCUACACAUGCUGCUGGACUGUCAUCCCCUGCACCAGCAUCGACACCUACUUCAGUGGCUGGAGAGCAUCAUCCUGGAUCAUCUGUUUCUCCUCACACACCAGCC